rnacentral:rRNA from 1 species
GACGAACGCUGGCGGCGUGCCUAAUACAUGCAAGUCGAGCGAGCUUGCCUAGAUGAUUUUAGUGCUUGCACUAAAUGAAACUAGAUACAAGCGAGCGGCGGACGGGUGAGUAACACGUGGGUAACCUGCCCAAGAGACUGGGAUAACACCUGGAAACAGAUGCUAAUACCGGAUAACAACACUAGACGCAUGUCUAGAGUUUGAAAGAUGGUUCUGCUAUCACUCUUGGAUGGACCUGCGGUGCAUUAGCUAGUUGGUAAGGUAACGGCUUACCAAGGCAAUGAUGCAUAGCCGAGUUGAGAGAAUGAUCGGCCACAUUGGGACUGAGACACGGCCCAAACUCCUACGGGAGGCAGCAGUAGGGAAUCUUCCACAAUGGACGAAAGUCUGAUGGAGCAACGCCGCGUGAGUGAAGAAGGGUUUCGGCUCGUAAAGCUCUGUUGGUAGUGAAGAAAGAUAGAGGUAGUAACUGGCCUUUAUUUGACGGUAAUUACUUAGAAAGUCACGGCUAACUACGUG